rnacentral:rRNA from 1 species
GCGGCAUGCUUAAACAUGCAAGUCGAACGAAGACCCAGAGCUUGCUCUGGAUCUCUUAGUGGCGAACGGGUGAGUAACGCGUGGGAAUCUACCUAGAAAUGGGGAAUAACUAUUGGAAACGAUAGCUAAUACCGCAUAAUCCCUCCGGGGGAAAGGCUUCGGUCGUUUUUAGAUGAGCCCGCGUUAGAUUAGGCUGUUGGUGAGGUAAUGGCUCACCAAACCUGCAAUCUAUAGCUGGUCUGAGAGGAUGAUCAGCCACACUGGGACUGAGACACGGCCCAGACUCCUACGGGAGGCAGCAGUGGGGAAUAUUGGACAAUGGGGGAAACCCUGAUCCAGCAAUGCCGCGUGAGUGAUGAAGGCCUUAGGGUUGUAAAACUCUUUCAGAAGUGAAGAUGAUGACGGUAACUUCAGAAGAAGCUCCGGC